rnacentral:rRNA from 1 species
UACGUAGGGUGCAAGCGUUGUCCGGAAUUAUUGGGCGUAAAGAGCUCGUAGGCGGUCUGUCACGUCGGAUGUGAAAAAUCAGGGCUCAACCCUGGACCUGCAUUCGAUACGGGCAGACUAGAAUUCGGUAGGGGAGACUGGAAUUCCUGGUGUAGCGGUGAAAUGCGCAGAUAUCAGGAGGAACACCGGUGGCGAAGGCGGGUCUCUGGGCCGAUAUUGACGCUGAGGAGCGAAAGCGUGGGGAGCGAACAGG